rnacentral:rRNA from 1 species
AUUGAACGCUGGCGGCAGGCCUAACACAUGCAAGUCGAACGAGUGGGGGACGGGUGAGUAAGGGCUGGGAAACUGCCCGAUGGAGGGGGAUAACUACUGGAAACGGUAGCUAAUACCGCAUAACAUGGGAUGUGCCCAGAUGGGAUUAGCUAGUAGGAGGGGUAAAGGCGCACUUAGGCGCCGAUCCCUAGCUGGUCUGAGCGGAUGACCAGCCACACUGUAACUGAGACACGGUCCCGCCUCCUACGGGAGGCGGCAGUGGGUAAUAUUGCACAAUGGGCGCAAGCCUGGUGCAGCCCUGCCGCGUGUAUGAAUAAGUCCUUCGGGUUGUAAAGUACUUUCAGCGGGGAGGCGUUACCCGCAGAAGAAGCACCGGCUAACUCCGUGCCAGCCGCCGCGGUAAUAC